AUGGCUGAACCAACUGGUCUUGCCGAGGCUUUGGAGAAGCUCGCUAAGAUCCUCGCGGAGUCCAACUCUGGGGCCAUCGUUCCUCGACAGGAAGUGGCUCAAAAGCUUGAAAUAUCGCCCCUGGACAUGAAGCUAGAGGGGGCAACAAAUUAUUUGAGCUGGUCCAGAAGGGCUUUGUGGGCUGUGGAGCAGAAGGAGCUUGAUGGAUAUUUGUUGGGCACCGUUGUAGAACCAAGGGACACGAGUAGUGCAGAGGGCAAGAGGUGGAAGGUCAUCCACUCUGUACUUAUGGUGUGGUUGUUGAACUCCGUGGUGCCCUCCAUUGGACGCUCUGUGGAGGGGCUAUCCUCACCUGCUGAGAUAUGGAAGAUUCUGUCCACUCAAUACUCUGGCAAGGGCAAUGUCAUGCUCAUUGCUCAGAUUGAGGACAAGAUUAGGUAG
rnacentral:rRNA from 1 species